rnacentral:lncRNA from 10 species
UUACUGCAUUCACCCUCCCCAAAGUGCACAGAUUCUCUCUGAGCCAAAUGGGUUAAGGGAGAAGUGAUGGAGGCGAUUCGAAGCUGUCUUUCCUACCCUCUUCAGUACCUCUUCCAGUGAUGUGAAGUUAAAACCAGAGAUGGAGUCUCCCUGUGUUGCCCAGUCUGGUCUUGAGAGCUUCAGUUUUAAAUAAUAAAUUGUUCUCGUCUUUCUAAAUUUCAAUCAAAACACAGGAUGUAUUUUAAAAGGGAAAAACUGUGAGGUAAAAGAAUAGGGUGAGGGGAGGAAAGAAAUAACUUCAUAGAGAAAAAUUCAAUGAACCCUUGGAAGAAAAUAUAUGGAAGUAUGGUUACUGACUUGGGAAAGAAGAGAAAGGUACAAUGUAACUGCACAUAGAAGCCAGUCCUGAAAAGAAGCAAGCCGGCUGAAGUUAUCUGCAACUCAGAAGCACUUGGUACCACCCAAGGGGAGAUAAGAGCUACAUAACUGGAGCCUCAGCUCUUCACUGACUGUCCUCAGGUUCCAGGGGCCACCUGCAGUUCCUUGCCACAUGGAUUUCUCCAGCAUAGCUGUGUACUUCAUCAAGGCACAAGGAGAGUCUCCAGUCUACCAGAGCCCUAUGUAAUGUAACAUAAUCAACAAAGUGACGUCCCAUUCAUAUUCAAUUGGUCAGAAGCAAGUUACAGUCCCCACCCAGGUCAGAGGGAGGAGAUAUGACAAAGAAGUAAACAUCAGGAGGCUGGGACAAUGGGGAUACUUAAGGUCCAUCCUGCUACAACUUCCACAAUGGCGUCUUGACCAUGAGGGCUCCACAGACACUGAAGCGGUCACCCAGGCUGCAAGUCUUGGAGGCAUUCUCUAGGAAUCACAGUCCCAUUCUUCUGCAGGCAAACGGAGUCGCCAUAUGACCCAGUAAGUUUACUCUUAGGUACAUUCCCUAGAGAAAUAAAAAUAUAUGUCCGUGCAAAAACAUGUAUGUGAGUGUUCGUAGCAGUGUUAUUCAUAAUAGCCAAAAGGUGGAAACAAGCCAAAUGUUUGUCAACUGAUGAAUGGAGAAAUAAAAUGUGGUAUAACCAUACAAUGGAACAUUAAACAGGAAUAAAAAGAAAUGGAAUGCUGAGACAUGCAACAACAUGGAUGAACCUCAAGUACAUUAUGCUAAAAGAAAGAAGCCGGUCACAAAGGACCACAGCUUGCAUGAUUCCAUUUAUACAAAAUGUCCAGAAUAGGCAGAUCUACAGACUGGAAGUAGAACAGGGAUUGCCAAGGGCUGUGGGAAGGGAAAAGUGGGGAACAAUGCUAAUGGGUAAGAGCUUUCUUUAUGGGAUAAUAAAAUGUUCCAAAUUUAGAUUGUGGUGAUAGUUGCACAAUUCUGUGAAAAUACUAACAAUUUUUAAUGGGCGACUAUUAUGGCAUGUGAAUUAUAUCUCAGUAAAUCUUUUUUUAUUAAAAAACAAAAAAG